AGAGUUUGAUUCUGGCUCAGAACGAACGCUGGCGGCGUGGAUAAGACAUGCAAGUCGAACGAGAGAAUUGCUAGCUUGCUAAUAAUUCUCUAGUGGCGCACGGGUGAGUAACACGUGAGUAACCUGCCCCCGAGAGCGGGAUAGCCCUGGGAAACUGGGAUUAAUACCGCAUAGUAUCGAAAGAUUAAAGCAGCAAUGCGCUUGGGGAUGGGCUCGCGGCCUAUUAGUUAGUUGGUGAGGUAACGGCUCACCAAGGCGAUGACGGGUAGCCGGUCUGAGAGGAUGUCCGGCCACACUGGAACUGAGACACGGUCCAGACACCUACGGGUGGCAGCAGUCGAGAAUCAUUCACAAUGGGGGAAACCCUGAUGGUGCGACGCCGCGUGGGGGAAUGAAGGUCUUCGGAUUGUAAACCCCUGUCAUGUGGGAGCAAAUUAAAAAGAUAGUACCACAAGAGGAAGAGACGGCUAACUCUGUGCCAGCAGCCGCGGUAAUACAGAGGUCUCAAGCGUUGUUCGGAAUCACUGGGCGUAAAGCGUGCGUAGGCUGUUUCGUAAGUCGUGUGUGAAAGGCGCGGGCUCAACCCGCGGACGGCACAUGAUACUGCGAGACUAGAGUAAUGGAGGGGGAACCGGAAUUCUCGGUGUAGCAGUGAAAUGCGUAGAUAUCGAGAG
rnacentral:rRNA from 1 species